rnacentral:lncRNA from 1 species
CCUCGUCAUACAAGUCAGCCAACGGCAUAAAGGGUACACUUGUUCCUUCAGAUUUCGACACUAGCUCUUACAUGAUAAAACAAUAGUACUUAAAAGGAAUGGCACUUCCAUCUCAAAGAAGACAACCUGUUGUGUAGACUCAGAAAAGUACUGAUCACUACCAAUAAACAGCAGGUAUAUUUAUCCACAAGAGUGAGAUCG